CCUACGGGUGGCUGCAGUGGGGAAUAUUGGACAAUGGGGGCAACCCUGAUCCAGCCAUGCCGCGUGUGUGAAGAAGGCCCUCGGGUUGUAAAGCACUUUCAGUGAGGAAGAACGCCUGGUGGUUAAUACCCAUCAGGAAAGACAUCACUCACAGAAGAAGCACCGGCUAACUCCGUGCCAGCAGCCGCGGUAAUACGGAGGGUGCGAGCGUUAAUCGGAAUUACUGGGCGUAAAGCGCGCGUAGGUGGCUUGAUAAGCCGGUUGUGAAAGCCCCGGGCUCAACCUGGGAACGGCAUCCGGAACUGUCAAGCUAGAGUGCAGGAGAGGAAGGUAGAAUUACCGGUGUAGCGGUGAAAUGCGUAGAGAUCGGGAGGAAUACCAGUGGCGAAGGCGGCCUUCUGGACUGACACUGACACUGAGGUGCGAAAGCGUGGGUAGCAAACAGGAUUAGAUACCCUAGUAGUC
rnacentral:rRNA from 1 species